CAGCACCUCAAGUGGUCAGGAUGAUUAUUGGGCCUAAAGCAUCCGUAGCCGGCUCUGUAAGUUUUCGGUUAAAUCUGUAUGCUCAACAUACAGGCUGCCGGGAAUACUGCAGAGCUAGGGAGUGGGAGAGGUAGACGGUACUCGGUAGGAAGGGGUAAAAUCCUUUGAUCUAUUGAUGACCACCUGUGGCGAAGGCGGUCUACCAGAACACGUCCGACGGUGAGGGAUGAAAGCUGGGGGAGCGAUCCGGAUUAGAUACCCGCGUAGUCC
rnacentral:rRNA from 1 species